UUGCCUUUCCCAAGAUCUGCCUGGGUAAAUUCCUGGGAAAGACAACCAUCAGGGAACUCUUUAUUGUCACAGCCAUUGUAUUUUUUACUUCACCUGCGUGGAAGGAGAGUUUUCGCUAUGUGUAUCCUAUAUCCACUUGUAGAAGUUGCAUUAGUUUUCUGGAGCACAGUUUAUUAAGAAGCUCUUACUUACAGAAGUAUACACCGGUACAAUGGAAUGCUAUGUCGCGAUUAAAAACAACGAAGUGGGUCCUUAUAUGGAAAGAUCUUCAAGAUGUUACUAAGGAGGAAAAAGGCAGAGGGUCAGAAAUAUACAUUUUUCAUGCAUUCAGCCACACAUGUAUAUCUGUUUGAGUAUGUCUUAUAAUUUUCUGGGAGAAGAAAAUAAACAUCAUUAGCUCUGGUU